rnacentral:rRNA from 1 species
GGCGAACGGGUGAGUAACACGUGGGUAAUCUGCCCUGCACUCUGGGAUAAGCCUGGGAAACUGGGUCUAAUACUGGAUAUGACCUUUCUCCUUAUGGGGUUUGGUGGAAAGUUUUUCGGUGUAGGAUGAGCCCGCGGCCUAUCAGCUUGUUGGUGGGGUGAUGGCCUACCAAGGCGACGACGGGUAGCCGGCCUGAGAGGGCGAUCGGCCACAUUGGGACUGAGAUACGGCCCAG